GUCGUCAGCUCGUGCCGUGAGGUGUCGGGUUAAGUCCCAUAACGAGCGCAACCCUACCUUUAGUUGCCAUCAGGUAAUGCUGGGGACUCUAAAGGAACUGCCUACGCAAGUAGUGAGGAAGGCGGGGAUGACGUCGAAAUCAGCACGGCCCUUACGUCCAGGGCUGCACACGUGCUACAAUGGCCGAUACAGAGGGCAGCUACCUGGUGACAGGAUGCAAAUCUCCAAAGUCGGUCUCAGUUCGGAUCGGAGUCUGCAACCCGACUCCGUGAAGUUGGAUUCGCUAGUAAUCGCGCAUCAGCCAUGGCGCGGUGAAUACGUUCCCGGGCCUU
rnacentral:rRNA from 1 species